rnacentral:lncRNA from 1 species
GGUUCCAGAAAUCAGAAACAAGAUAAAGGAAAUAUGAAGUUAAGACGGACAUGAAUACGUUUCUAACUCUCAGGGAAUAUCACAAAGGAUGGAGAGACUGAGUCACUAAGAACUGAAGUGGUCACGGUGGCCAAGCUUGCACAGCUGGUAGGUGGCAGCUCUGAGAUUCGGACUCAAGCGAUCUGCUCCAGAGUCAAUGAAUCAUCUGACGAUAAAUGAAAAUGUGUUUCUCGAUGUGGUCCUGCAGAGAGAUUCAUAUCGCCGAGUAGUAAGUUGCUGCUGGUGUUUUCGUUAAUGGGAACUGUAAAAUGAGAAGAUUACGGGUAUUCAUGGUAUGAACAAACAGUGAGACCUACCAUUCUGAAUCAAGCUCAAUUGGAUAUGCGAGAAUUCAGAAAGGAAUUUGUGUUGCCUG